rnacentral:rRNA from 1 species
GAUGAACGCUGGCGGCGUGCUUAACACAUGCAAGUCGAACGGUGAAGGCGGAGCUUGCUCUGCUGGAUCAGUGGCGAACGGGUGAGUAACACGUGAGCAAUCUGCCCCUGACUCUGGGAUAAGCGCUGGAAACGGCGUCUAAUACUGGAUACGAGCUGCGAAGGCAUCUUCAGCAGCUGGAAAGAACUUCGGUCAGGGAUGAGCUCGCGGCCUAUCAGCUUGUUGGUGAGGUAACGGCUCACCAAGGCGUCGACGGGUAGCCGGCCUGAGAGAGUGACCGGCCACACUGGGACUGAGACACGGCCCAGACUCCUACGGGAGGCAGCAGUGGGGAAUAUUGCACAAUGGGCGAAAGCCUGAUGCAGCAACGCCGCGUGAGGGACGACGGCCUUCGGGUUGUAAACCUCUUUUAGCAGGGAAGAAGCGAAAGUGACGGUACCUGCAGAAAAAGCGCCGGCUAACUACGUG